UACUCGGGGAGCUCCUGCGAAGCCCUUACGGGUCCGUCGGGCCCAAAACUCUCGUCACCCAAGAUAAUUUUCGAAGGUGCACAACCUGCGCCGGGAUUCAUCCGUGGUUGGAAAAAAGCAGGCACGCGCCACGCGCGCCGAAUUAUAAAUUUUAAGUAGGGUAAAUUUCGUAAAUUUCAGCCAUUUUAUAAUAGAUUCAAUGAGAAUGGAGAUAGGAUAGCUGCAUUAUUUCCUCAUAUUCGGAAAUCCCGCCACCUCGCCAGAAUAGUCGAAGCCGUGAUUCAAACUUUUGAAAAACACGCACACUAUCGCAUUGGCUGCAGCGAGCCAAUGAGCGCGGUCCGGUCAGUUCACUUGCGUGCCGCUGCUGCGCUGUAGUCAUUGUCACUAGUCAGCCGAGCCGACCGGAGCAUGCGGAGACGCCGGCAAACCGCGCGAGUGCUAAAGAAAAGCCGUUGGAUGUCGGCUCGUCAAAUAAUGCCGAUUUUCGGCCGAAUUUUCGCCCUCGAGUCGACCAGGAGGAGGCCAUGGAUGUUGGAGAAGCUCUUUUAUCCGCAAACAAUGCCAGACCUGACCCGUGCCCGCAGCCUGUUCUCGUGGCGUCGUGACAACAAUGCAACUCGUAACAACUGCGUAGCGUACAUACAUUCGCCCUGAAACUUGCGAUCCCCGGCACAGUGAAAUUGCUGGUAUGUAUGUAUGUAAGAUUUUUUUGAUAAUUCUCAUAAUUCCAUAAAAUAAAUUCAUCAUAAUUAUCAUGUAUUACGUUUAUGAAGAGCAAAAACGUAAUUUUUUAUAUGCUUGAAAUAGUUGUUUGUACAUAUUAUGCAUAUUCUUCUUAAUAUGUGAUGUAUGUAAUUAAAUCGAUAUUUUGGUAUAAUAUUUUAUGUACAUAUGUAUUAUCAGAUGUGUUUUAUGACGUAUCUAUGUACAUGCAUAACACGUAUGUAAUUAAAUGCAUAUUGAAUUGCAAUUACAUGCAUAGUACAUAAUUUAUGUAUGUAUGCAUUCAUUUUUAACAAUUUUUAAAUAAUGUACAUUAUUUGAGCCAGGGUCGCAUUUAUUUGCAUAACACUGGGCUUUGUCACCGCUGGUUUCUAACGGUUUUUACCAUUUUACCGCUCUUUUUUUACCAAUUUCUUGUGCAAAUACUUGGCAGAAUUCAUAUAAAAAUAAAUUCCAACAUUUGCCUUAAUGAUAUUAAAUUUUAUUGUAAUUAAAUAUAAUUUAAUCAUUUUAAGAUCGAUCCUGUAGCAAAAGGUGCUUACAAAAAAUUCAUUUAAGCUGUAUUUUACAUCUUUAAUUGGCAUACAUUUAUAUCAUAAUAAUUAAUUUGAUAUAUUAGGCAGUUCAAAAUCUAACUCAUUAAUGAAUUGCAGCAAUGCAAGGGUCACAAAUUAUUGCCUUUUUAGUUAAAUGGUAUGAAAUAUUAAAAUAAUAUUGACCACUCGCCGGCAACUUCUCUGGUAAAAUAAAAAACUUCCCUUUACUUUUUAAAUUUAUUCCGUAUAAUUCUCCUGCGAAACUCCAAAAUUUGUGGUUGGAGUGGGCAAGCAAAAUUUCCUCUAAUGUGCAAAUUUUUAAUUGCCAUUUUUUGCUGCUUCAAUUUCUCCUAAAUUUUCUCAAACUAUAUUUCAAGUCGUGGCCUUGAGCUAAUAUUUCGAAAAUUUCCUGAAAGAAACUUGUAUAAAUGGAUAAAAAACCAUCUUACACGGCACUGCAUUUUAAUAUUAAUGGGUUUUUUGGCAACCCUAAUGUGAGCAACACUUAAUAUUGUGCACCAAUAAUAUGUAUUGUUUAUUCCAUGCUAUGCAUUUUUGUUUAAUGAUUUACUAUCAUUUAUUCUGCAAUAAGUGUGCAUAUUUUUAUUUCUUGUAUGAUAACAAAUUAACCACUGCACAACAAAAAAUAUAACACAUUAUGCAACAAGUAUUUAAUUUUAAUUGCUCUUUUGCUCUUCCAAUAAUUAAUUGGCAGAAUUUUUAAUCGAUGCCAGAAUAAAUACGCGCUGAAUUCUUCGCAAUUUACUAGGGAAGACUCGCAUUACGUGUUGAUAUGUGUACGAAUGUAAAACAUGUUGUGCGUGCAGUAUAUCAUAAAUUCGAUUUUUGGCUAGUGACAUUUCAAUGCAAUCGGCUCAAAUGAUGUAAUGCACGUUAUUAACUUAGUUGCUGAAAUUUUUAUGCAUCAUUUUAGCCUGAUGCAUAACGCGUAAAGUCAUAAGCCAAAAAUCAAAAGCUUGCUGUCCUUAUUGUUAAUUCAAGAAAUCAAAACAUGGACCUUUAUUGCAAAAUAAGUCAUAAAUAAUAAAUAUACAAAAAAAUAUGCACAAUACGAAAUAAAUUCCACUGUGUUUAUUCAGAUCUGAAACCUACGCAGGAGUCCAAUCCACCAAACCCUCGCUCCCUAACCUGAGCCAACCCCCAAAAGAGCUGCUUAGCAAGGUGGCCGCGCCGCCAACAGUCACAGGUCGUGUUCGCACCUAUGUAAAAGGUUCUUAAUGAAAAAUUUCCUCCUGUUGUCAAUAUUUUGUAAAUUUUAUAUGAAUUAUUAAACAUAGCACCUUGAACCUAAAAA